GCCGCGUCAUCCCUCAAUAGAUAUACGAGUAGUAACUAUUAGCUGUGAAGUAAUUGGGUUAUUGUAUCAAUUUUGUAUUUCACAAUGGUCGCGGCUUUAAUACUUAAAUGCAUGUCUAUAUACAAGGCAACAACAAAUAACAAGGAGGUCAGGGUAAACAUAAGUAGGGUCAUGGAACUAUAAAUGCUUUUUCGGUGGCUAUGUACAAUCGGAAGUUAAUUGGUUUUAUAUUACUAUUCUAGCUAUAAAAAAGCCAAGUGGUUAACUUGGCUUUGUUGUCAUUGAC
rnacentral:misc_RNA from 1 species